UCAGACUGAAAAUGAUCUCAGACGUGUCGGUGGUCUGAGGUCAGACUCCUGAGCCUAAAGUAUUGUGGUACAUUUAGCUCAUCGCCUGCUCACACGUUGGCAGAGCGAUCAAACCCAUGUGCCGACAAAA
ensembl:snoRNA